rnacentral:misc_RNA from 1 species
AGAGGUUAAUUGGACAAAAAUUAAUCGUGACGUAAAUUUUUCUUCAUCGGCCGGUUGUUUUCGACUAUAUCAGACACGAUCGAUAAGACUCGGUGUGUUUAACGGUGUGCAGGUGCUAUGCCACCUUGGUAACGUUUCCCUCUCCGAAUCGCCGUUGUUUUUCUCUUUCUCCCUUUCUCUUUCACGCGUCAGGAGGAGACGAGAAUGUGAGGCUCGCGGAAUCAGAGUAGGGAGUUUGUUUGCGCGAUUCGGACGGUGGCGAGGAAAAAUUCAGUGUAGAAAAAAAAAACGUUUUAACUCGAUCAGUCUUGAGCCAUCUCCGAUGGUGUGAUAAAUUUUGUACAAGACCCAACGAAAUUGAAUAAAUCGUGAUUGAAAAUGUUGGACCGACCUUGUCUCGAUGCAAAAUGUGCAACGAAGAAUCCUUCGAGAGUCCCACAGUUUCGUACCGACGUUGACGAUAACGAGAUAGGAAAGAAAAGUCCUCGGAUCGAACCAUGCGGAUUUCAAAAUUUUCCAAAGAUCUCGAACCAAGCUGCCCGUCCGACGAUGAUGGAUACACCGGCGGUGAACGGAUUGGAAGCGCGAUGCUCCGAGAGUGAAAACGCUACUCAGGCGGCGGCUCCAGCCUAUUUCCCUCAACCGGAGGAUGCUUUACCGCGACAACCGGAAGGCCCAAUGGGAGCCAUAGGUCCAUGGGCAACCGGUCGGGUGACUUACAAUCGAACGAAUGGCAUGACCGGGAUCCGGCCUGUAGUUGAUCGCUACUCCAUCACGAAAUACAGUGCCUCUCAAUGGAGAGCUCACAAUCGAAAUUUUUUCGACCAGACGAAUGCGAGAAUCGCCACAGCCGAAGACAUGUCGAGAAAAUCAAAAUUCACCGAAAUAAAUGCUCAAAUUUACAAAGAAACGGAUUCUCAUCAAUUGGAAAAUCGUGAUCGUUUGAGCAAGCGUGCCGGCGUUGUUUAUGGAUGGAAAGCAGAACUUGAGCGAGCUUGGACCGAGAUGGUUGAGGAAAUCGAGCUUCUGGAGGGAGAACGUCGUCGAGUCAAACAGUCGCUCUCGGUUCUAACUAUUCCUGAAUCGAUAGCCGGUGAUUUGUUGCAAUUACGGACGUGCCGUAUGGAACCCGAUCUCGUAAGAGAUGCGGUCGAGGACGAGCUCGUCAAGGAGGUAGCUCUGUGUUCCGAGAUACGAAACACCCUCGUGGAUUUACGGGAGCGAAUCGAGACACAGCUCGUCGAGUUAAAAACCGCAAAGUCAAGAAUGGAAUUCGAUUUCACGGAUAAAAGGGACGCCUAUGAGACAGAGAGCUCUUGCAUUCAUUUGAACAACGAUUCACCUGUGAUUCUGAUUAGAGAGGGGGCGACGAGAAUUCCACCAGAGCAAACGACACCUGCCGGAUAUGAUCAUUUCACAAGAGAGAGCCUCGAAGCGGGUGAAGAUGCUAAACGAAAAUCGGUCGACCUCAGAUCGUCUUUGGACGUGGUUUAUUCCGAUGGGAUGAAGAAUCUUCGAUCCCAGGCCAUGGCCGUUGACAGAGCUCUGGCCGAAAAAAUUCACGUAACCGAAGAAUGUUGCCAACAACUCGAGACGACACUAGUCAGAUAUCUUAAUCUUUGCAGUGCUUGGCACAAUUGUCCAGUACCGAAGCGGUUAUCGAGGAAUUGCGCGGAGCCGCUAAAAAAGUGAAGGAUGCUUUGAAAGUCGCUCAAACGCGUUUGGACUAUCGAUUACAGCGUCGGAACGUCGAGAGUUGUCGCGACGUUCCUCAAUACGGCCUGCUCGAAGAAGUAAGAGCGCUGAAUGAAAGUCUCGCAAAUAUGGAAGGACAGGUUCGAGAAGCGGAGGAGGCACAAGCGGGUUUGGUAAAAACGAGAAACGAUCUGGAGUACGAAAUAGUGGUGAA